AGAUAAGUGUUUGUUUGCAUGUAGCAUUUGCAUCAAGCCAAACUGACGACUUUUUUAAAACAAAGAUCUCACGGAUCCCUCUCAGCGAGCAAAACCUGAGACAUUGCAGCAAAACCCCAAAACUCAGCACAGUCCACAUCAGCAGUAUCCCGAACAGGAUCUUCCCAUCUGAGGGAGCGACGCACAGUGGUGGAGGACACCAAGCAGGCCAAACCUGACCCACACACAAUCAACCCUUCUGGAACACACCGAGCUCUCCGAAUCCCAGGCGGUGCCCGUGCUCCCUGGCAGGGAAGCAGAGCAUCAGCUGAGAAACUCACGGCUGAGCCAGCUUGAGAAUAUUGGACCGGCUUAUCGGGUGACACGCCA